GGGGUCCCUUUUUAUAGGCGGAGAGCGUAACUGAUCGAUAGUGACAUCUGUAACUGCCUGAUAGUGGGCAGUUCAGAGCCGCACGGAGUUUGUUAUAGAGAGUAGUGGCGUCAGGAGCUAUUCAGGGCCACAUGAAGUUUGUUACGGAGAGUGGAGUGGUGUCCAUUGUCGUGACUUGCCAGGGAGCAGAGUAAGGUAGUGGCCCUUGUCGUGGUUUGACAGAGAGUAG
rnacentral:lncRNA from 1 species